GUUAAGCGACUAAGCGUACACGGUGGAUGCCCUGGCAGUCAGAGGCGAUGAAGGACGUGCUAAUCUGCGAUAAGCGUCGGUGAGGUGAUAUGAACCGUUAUAACCGGCGAUUUCCGAAUGGGGAAACCCAGUGUGUUUCGACACACUAUCAUUAACUGAAUCCAUAGGUUAAUGAGGCGAACCGGGGGAACUGAAACAUCUAAGUACCCCGAGGAAAAGAAAUCAACCGAGAUUCCCCCAGUAGCGGCGAGCGAACGGGGAGGAGCCC
rnacentral:rRNA from 1 species